GUGCCCAGAAGCCAUCCACCCGAGAGUUCUGGAACAUUCUGUCUUUGUCAGAGCAACAGAACCCUGGGAUGAUGUGGAAGCAAAGACAUAAUAGUCUAAGAGGAGGCAAGAAAGGUGCGCUCUGCCCGCCUCUCUGUUGCAGGACCCAGGGCUCCUGACAAUGACAGAGAGACCUGCCAUCCCAUAGACUCGACUCAUGAAUAUUUCCUGAUUUCUGGAGUGGAAUAGAAUGAAAAUGAAGCCUCAGUCCACUGUUGGGUGAAGUGUGAGAACUGGAACUUUAUCUCCCCAGCCCCCACAUAAACGCCAGCAUAUCCUCAGUAGACCCUGGAAGAAAGCCCUGACGGCCACUCUUGACAAGAUGCAGGGCCUGGGCCCUCAUGAACCUACAGUCCAUCUGCUGGGCUCUGCGCUCAGCCGCUCCUGCUAUAAACAUACAUCUCCCCAGAGCCAGCUGCCCUGCUCACGUUUGUCAGUGAAGAACUGUUGAGGCCCCUCAGUCCUGGUUCUAUCUUCCCUCAGCUUUUCUAGGCAUGGACACCUAAACCAGACGGUCCCGGAUGUGACAAUGGUCCCUCCAUCCAUCACUGUAUUUUGGAGCCCCUGAGAAGACCCUGCUGCUUAAUUUUGUGGUAGACCGUUCUGAAGAUCUAAAAUUACACUGUCUCCAUGACCACUAUCCUACGAAAUCUCCCCCGCUGAUACUCGCAAACCUCUAUCUGUGGCUGCAUCUCUCACCUGACUGUAGAAACCCAACUACAAACUGCUAUCUUCUUGUGGAUAUCUAGUUGGUAUCUCAACCUGAACCAGGAAAAAAAAACCUACUUAUAUCAUCUCCAUUAAUCUCCUCAACAUAUGCUCCCAGUUGCUCAGGCCAAAAAAAUCGAAGUAAGUCUCCUCCACCUCCUUCCCAAACCAGUCCUGUUCAGACGCCAGCCAGACUCCAUGCUCCACGGGGCUGAAGUCUUCCUUAUGCUCCAUUUCUCUGAUGACUUCAGGACGAGCUGUCUGGCCGGUCUCUUACACUCUGCCCCAGAACAGCUCAGCCAGGCUGAUCUCCUAAAGCAUCAUCCCCACACUCGUCAUGUCCCAAAGGCUCUCGCCACAAACAACAUCCUAACCACGGCCUCGAGCUCCUGUAGAAUUUGCACCAUGCUGUCCCCUCUGUCUAAAUCUCCCUUCACCCUCCUGUUUUCAGUACAUCACCAACACCAAACCUUUUCUUUCUUGUCCCUAAAGAUGCCCCAAUAGGCCCCCAUCUCUGGGUAUCUGUCCAC